rnacentral:tmRNA from 1 species
GGGGGUGACCAGGUUUCGACAGGGAUAAAGGGGAUCGUCGAUGCAUGUCGAGGAGAUUACCUGCUCGUUAAAACGGUGAUAACUAAAUUUAAUCGCAGAUUACGAUUACGCAUUGGCUGCGUAAUAAGUAACCACAUUCUUUGCCUGUUUCGCUGUUAGGACUGCAAAAGAAUGCCAUUUAUAACAGCUAUAAACGGCAGAUGUCUAUAAUGUCGUUCGAAAACUUAUAGGCUGGCUUUCUGUCCGGUUUGACUGUUCUUCCUGUAGAAAGCGAGAUCAAAAACAGCUAAACAUGUAGAUUCGGCUUUUGACUUAUUUCUGGACGCGGGUUCGAUUCCCGCCACCUCCAGUC